rnacentral:rRNA from 1 species
AUUGAACGCUGGCGGCAGGCCUAACACAUGCAAGUCGAACGGUAACAGGAAGAAGCUUGCUUCUUUGCUGACGAGUGGCGGACGGGUGAGUAAUGUCUGGGAAACUGCCUGAUGGAGGGGGAUAACUACUGGAAACGGUAGCUAAUACCGCAUAAUGUCGCAAGACCAAAGAGGGGGACCUUCGGGCCUCUUGCCAUCGGAUGUGCCCAGAUGGGAUUAGCUAGUAGGCGGGGUAACGGCUCACCUAGGCGACGAUCCCUAGCUGGUCUGAGAGGAUGACCAGCCACACUGGAACUGAGACACGGUCCAGACUCCUACGGGAGGCAGCAGUGGGGAAUAUUGCACAAUGGGCGCAAGCCUGAUGCAGCUAUGCCGCGUGUAUGAAGAAGGCCUUCGGGUUGUAAAGUACUUUCAGCGGGGAGGAAGGGAGUAAAGUUAAUACCUUUGCUCAUUGACGUUACCCGCAGAAGAAGCACCGGCUAACUCCGUG